rnacentral:rRNA from 1 species
CACGUAGGGGACGAGCGUUGUCCGGAAUCAUUGGGCGCAAAGCGUGCGUAGGCGGCCCGGUAAGUCGGCUGUGAAAUCCCGGGGCUCAACCCCGGGCCUGCAUCCGAUACUCCCGGGCUGGAGGCAGGUAGGGGAGAUCGGAAUUCCUGGUGUAGCGGUGAAAUGCGCAGAUAUCAGGAGGAACACCGGUGGCGAAGGCGGAUCUCUGGGCCUUGCCUGACGCUGAGGCGCGAAAGCUAGGGGAGCGAACAGG